GGUUGAUCCUGCCAGUAACAUAUGCUUGUCUCAAAGAUUAAGCCAUGCAUGUCUAAGUUCAGCCUAAUUAUAUGGUGAAACCGCGAAUGGCUCAUUAAAUCAGUUAUAAUUUACUAGAAAAUGUUUUUUACUUGGAUAACUGUGGUAAUUCUAGAGCUAAUACAUGCCUGAGGGCGCUGAAGAACUUGGCGCUAGCAUUUGUUAGACAACGCCGGCUGGUAUUCCUCUAUACGGGUGUUUACCGGUAGUCAAACGGUGAUGACUCUGUACAACUAUGUCCGAUCGCUUAGCC
rnacentral:rRNA from 1 species